rnacentral:lncRNA from 1 species
GGCCGCUGCAGAGCGCCGCCCUCGAACAAACUCCGCCGCCGGGCGCUCAAAACGGCCAGGUUCUCCGCCACCGAUAGAACUCUCCCGACGAAUCUUCACCCCUAUCUGUGCCGACGAUGCUCGCCCUCUUCCCUCCAGGCCGGGUCCGGCGGCGGAAGCUGGUAUUCGUCCGGGGUCAGCGCCGGCACGAAGUCGGGCAGCGGGGGCGCCGCCUUCUCCGGACACCUGCGCCAGUAAAACACAUCAGAGGGUGACGUACGACCCGGCACGACGAGGUAUGGUAAUCGGAGAUCGAUUGAUCGGCAAAACGAUUUGAUUCCAGGAGUCAGAAAAGCCAUCACAGGAAACCAGCAAGAAGAUAGAGUAUUAUAUCCUCUAAUCCUUCAUUUUCCUCGCGUUCUCAUCAUCAUAUCACUCAUUCGAUCUAUAUGAAUGCAUAUGUACUGCUUUAGAACAGGUUAUAUAUUGUUCACGGGGCUUACUUUUGGAGAAUAUGGAGGCCCGGGGCAGUAUGCAACGUAUGUGAAGCAUCCUCAG